GAAGGAAGGAGGAGGGGGAGAGUGAGCUCACCGGUUUAGAAAUCUCUGGCAGCAAAGCCAGGACACCAAGAAUGAAAGAGGGGAAACAAACCAGGAAAGGGCAGAAAUACUCUUGCUGUUCAAGACUGCUGUGGGGAAAGAUUCUCAUUUCUUCGGCUCUGCCUGAUGGACAUCUGGAAGAUAAAGCACAACACAAACGAGGAGACUCCUGUGUGUGGUUUUGUUCCCUGUAGAGAAUCCAUUCCAUACCUGUGGUGCACAUAAACAUAUGGAAGUGAUGAAUAGGAAUUACGGUGUUGGCAUUCUGCUAGACUGAACAUCAAAAUAAAUAUAAUCUGUUAAUUGAUUAAAUAAAUGAAUCCCAGGAAACAUUUUAUAUCCUGGGUUUCAAACUA